UUGACCUCGAAUCAGGUAGGAAUACCCGCUGAACUUAAGCAUAUCAAUAAGCGGAGGAAAAGAAACCAACCGGGAUUACCUCAGUAACGGCGAGUGAAGCGGUAACAGCUCAAAUUUGAAAUCUGGCUCCUUUGGAGUCCGAGUUGUAAUUUGUAGAAGAUGCUUUGGGUUAUGGGUUCGGCCUAAGUUCCUUGGAACAGGACGUCAUGGAGGGUGAGAAUCCCGUAUGUGGCCGAGGCCCGCGCCUGUGUAAAGCUCUUUCAACGAGUCGAGUUGUUUGGGAAUGCAGCUCAAAAUGGGUGGUAAAUUUCAUCUAAAGCUAAAUAUGGGCCAGAGACCGAUAGCGCACAAGUAGAGUGAUCGAAAGAUGAAAAGCACUUUGGAAAGAGAGUUAAACAGUACGUGAAAUUGUUGAAAGGGAAGCGCUUGCACCCAGACUUGGGCGCUGCUGAUCACCUUGCGUUCUCCGCGAGUGCACUCGACAGCGCACAGGCCAGCAUCGGUUCGGGUGGCUGGAUAAAGGCCGUAGGAACGUAGCUCUCUUCGGGGAGUGUUAUAGCCUACGGUGCCAUGCAGCCCAGCCGGACCGAGGACCGCGCCUUCGGGCUAGGAUGCUGGCGUAAUGGGUGUAAGCGACCCGUCUUGAAACACGGACCAAGGAGUCUAACAUCUAUGCGAGUGUUUGGGUGGUAAACCCAUACGCGGAAUGAAAGUGAACGUAGGUGAGAACCCCUUUGGGGCGCAUCAUCGACCGAUCCUGAUGUCUUCGGAUGGAUUUGAGUAAGAGCAUAGCUGUUGGGACCCGAAAGAUGGUGAACUAUGCCUGAAUAGGGUGAAGCCAGAGGAAACUCUGGUGGAGGCUCGCAGCGGUUCUGACGUGCAAAUCGAUCGUCAAAUUUGGGCAUA
rnacentral:rRNA from 1 species